rnacentral:rRNA from 1 species
AUUGAACGCUGGCGGUAUGCUUAACACAUGCAAGUCGAACGGUAGCAGGCUUUCGGGCGCUGACGAGUGGCGGACGGGUGAGUAACGCGUAGGAAUCUGCCUCAUAGUGGGGGAGUAACCCGGGAAACGUCGGCUAAUACCGCAUACGCUCCACGGAGGAAAGCGGGGAGUCUUCGGACCUCGCGUUAUCAGAUGAGCCUGCGUCCGAUUAGCUGGUUGGUGGGGUAAAGGCCCACCAAGGCGACGAUCGGUAGCUGGUCUGAGAGGACGAUCAGCCACACUGGAACUGAGACACGGUCCAGACUCCUACGGGUGGCAG